UAUGUUCAAUGCUUACGUUGAUUUUUUCUAUAUUUUCUAUUUCUAACAAAAUAUGGUUUUGAACUUUUUUUUUAUUUUAGUAGCCUUAGUUUAUGUGUAACAGUAUAAACUGGCACAAAUUGGUUUUGGAUGUUAGUGUAUGAUGAUGGAUGGAUGGAUGGAUGGAUGGAUGGGUAGAUUAGUGACUUUCCCAGGAUCACACGGCUGUUGAUACACAGCUGGGACUUAACAGCCAUUGCUGAGGGAUGUUAAACACUGAAGUACCUGGUGAAAAAGAGCUCCAGGGUUACCAUGACAACUACAGAAGUCCUCUAAUUUCCACCUUCUGUGUGAGGAUCAGAAUCAGAACCUUAUUUACAGGCACAGAGGUUAAAACUCUCAGGAGGAACUACCAGCCAGGCUGUCCCUAUGAUAUCAAAGCCCAGGCUGGGGCUCAGAAUCAGCAAUUGGAUGAAACCAAAAGGUGCAUAGCUCACCGAGUUCAUUGGGACCAGCUUCUUCCCACACAAUCCUCUGAAUUCACCCCUCCCUCCACAUUGUUCCCGUGUCUCCUUUUGGCUCCCAGCUGAAUCGGUUGUCAUCAGGUGCCCUAUGCAAGGCACAAUGGAAGAACCAGACCUGUCCCUGCACCGGGCUAUGUGCAACUCUCUGCCUACCAGUGACCUCCUUCACACUUUCCACAACCCUCAGACCCACCUGCAUUUCCCCU
rnacentral:lncRNA from 1 species